GACCUACGGGGCGCAGCAGUGAGGAAUAUUGGCCAAUGGGCGCGAGCCUGAACUAGCCAAGUCGCGUGAGGGAGGACGGCCCUACGGGUUGUAAACCUCUUUUGUCGGGGAACAAAGGGCGCCACGCGUGGCGUUGUGAGUGUACCCGAAGAAAAAGCAUCGGCUAACUCCGUGCCAGCAGCCGCGGUAAUACGGAGGAUGCGAGCGUUAUCCGGAUUUAUUGGGUUUAAAGGGUGCGUAGGCGGUCCGGAAAGUCAGCGGUAAAAGCCCGGGGCUCAACCCCGGCGAGCCGUUGAAACUGUCGG
rnacentral:rRNA from 1 species